rnacentral:rRNA from 1 species
UACGGGAGGCAGCAGUGGGGAAUAUUGGACAAUGGGCGCAAGCCUGAUCCAGCAAUGCCGCGUGUGUGAAGAAGGCCUGCGGGUUGUAAAGCACUUUUAUUAGGAAAGAAAAACCCGGAGCUAAUACCUCCGGCAUUGACGGUACCUAAAGAAUAAGCACCGGCUAACUCAGUGCCAGCAGCCGCGGUAAU